rnacentral:rRNA from 1 species
UGCAGUCGAACGGGCGUAGCAAUACGUCAGUGGCAGACGGGUGAGUAACGCGUGGGAACGUACCUUUUGGUUCGGAACAACUGAGGGAAACUUCAGCUAAUACCGGAUAAGCCCUUACGGGGAAAGAUUUAUCGCCGAAAGAUCGGCCCGCGUCUGAUUAGCUAGUUGGUGAGGUAAUGGCUCACCAAGGCGACGAUCAGUAGCUGGUCUGAGAGGAUGAUCAGCCACAUUGGGACUGAGACACGGCCCAAACUCCUACGGGAGGCAGCAGUGGGGAAUAUUGGACAAUGGGGGCAACCCUGAUCCAGCCAUGCCGCGUGAGUGAUGAAGGCCCUAGGGUUGUAAAGCUCUUUUGUGCGGGAAGAUAAUGACGGUACCGCAAGAAUAAGCCCCGGCUAACUUCGUGCCAGCAGCCGCGGUAAUACGAAGGGGGCUAGCGUUGCUCGGAAUCACUGGGCGUAAAGGGUGCGUAGGCGGGUUUCUAAGUCAGAGGUGAAAGCCUGGAGCUCAACUCCAGAACUGCCUUUGAUACUGGAAGUCUUGAGUAUGGCAGAGGUGAGUGGAACUGCGAGUGUAGAGGUGAAAUUCGUAGAUUUUCGCAAGAAAACCAGUGGCCAAAGGCGGCUCACUGGGCCAUUAACUGACGCUGAAGCAACGAAGGCGUGGGGGGAGCAAAACAGGAUUAGUUACCCUUGUUAGGUCCACCGCCGUUAAACGUUUGAUGGCCAAGCCGUUAGGUGGGGUUAUCCUCACUUAGUGGCGGCACCUAAGCGCUUUUAGCCAAUUCCGCCCGGGGGGGAGUACGGUCCGCAGAGAUUAAAAACUCCAAAGGAAUUGGACGGGGGCCCGACAAAGCCGGGGGGAAGCAGGUGGGUUUAAUU